rnacentral:snRNA from 1 species
AAGGUGAACAGCCUCUGGU